rnacentral:rRNA from 1 species
GACGAACGCUGGCGGCGUGCCUAAUACAUGCAAGUUGAGCGCUGAAGGUUGGUACUUGUACCGACUGGAUGAGCAGCGAACGGGUGAGUAACGCGUGGGGAAUCUGCCUUUGAGCGGGGGACAACAUUUGGAAACGAAUGCUAAUACCGCAUAAAAACUUUAAACACAAGUUUUAAGUUUGAAAGAUGCAAUUGCAUCACUCAAAGAUGAUCCCGCGUUGUAUUAGCUAGUUGGUGAGGUAAAGGCUCACCAAGGCGAUGAUACAUAGCCGACCUGAGAGGGUGAUCGGCCACAUUGGGACUGAGACACGGCCCAAACUCCUACGGGAGGCAGCAGUAGGGAAUCUUCGGCAAUGGACGAAAGUCUGACCGAGCAACGCCGCGUGAGUGAAGAAGGGUUUCGGAUCGUAAAACUCUGUUGGUAGAGAAGAACGUUGGUGAGAGUGGAAAGCUCAUCAAGUGACGGUAACUACCCAGAAAGGGGCGGCUAACUACGUG